ensembl:lncRNA
GAGAGAGAAGAGAGAGGAGAGAGAGAGGAGAGAAGAGAGAGGAGAGUGAGGGAGGAGAGAGAGGGAGGAUAGCUCUACGAUCUGUCCCCCAGCAGCUGGCUGCACCACAGCCAAACCUGUUUAAGAGCUGCCUAGCUGCCAGAGGAAAUCAGUGGUGUGAACGUUAGGGCUAUACAGCCAAUAACACAGAGAGGUAGACCACUAGGCAGGCAGGGAGACCACUAGUCAGAGAGGGAGACCACUAGUCAGGGAGGGAGACCACUAGUCAGGGAGGGAGACCACUAGGCAGGGAGGGAGACCACUAGGCAGGCAAGGAGGAAGGUCACUAGGCAGGCAGGGAGGAAGGUCACUAGGCAGGCAGGGAGGAAGGUCACUAGGCAGGCAGGGAGGGACACCACUAGGCAGGCAAGGAGGAAGGUCACUAGGCAGGGAGGAAGGUCGCUAAGGCAGGCAAGGAGGAAGGUCACUAGGCAGGCAGGGAGGGACACCACUAGGCAGGGAGGGACGGAGACCACUAGGCAGGGAGGGAGACCACUAGGCAGGGAGGGAGACCACUAGUCAGGGAGGGAGACCACUAGUCAGGGAGGGAGACCACUAGUCAGGGGGAUGGAGACC